UACGAGUGGUGCAAGCGUUAUUCGGAAUCAUUGGGCGUAAAGGGUGUGUAGACGGCACUUUAAGUCAACUGUUUAAUUCUCCAGCCUAACUGGAGGUCAGCGGUAGAAACUGAUGUGCUAGAGGGUGGAAGAGAGAAGUGGAAUUCUCGGAGUAGCGGUAAAAUGCGUAGAUCUCGAGAGGAACACCAAUGGCGAAGGCAGCUUCUUGGUCCACUCCUGACGUUGAAACACGAAAGCGUGGGGAGCAAACAGG
rnacentral:rRNA from 1 species